AGAGUUUGAUCAUGGCUCAGACUGAACGCUGGCGGCAGGCCUAACACAUGCAAGUCGAGCGGAAACGAGUUAUCUGAACCUUCGGGGAACGAUAACGGCGUCGAGCGGCGGACGGGUGAGUAAUGCCUAGGAAAUUGCCCUGAUGUGGGGGAUAACCAUUGGAAACGAUGGCUAAUACCGCAUAACACCUUCGGGUCAAAGAGGGGGACCUUCGGGCCUCUCGCGUCAGGAUAUGCCUAGGUGGGAUUAGCUAGUUGGUGAGGUAAUGGCUCACCAAGGCGACGAUCCCUAGCUGGUCUGAGAGGAUGAUCAGCCACACUGGAACUGAGACACGGUCCAGACUCCUACGGGAGGCAGCAGUGGGGAAUAUUGCACAAUGGGCGCAGGCCUGAUGCAGCCAUGCCGCGUGUGUGAAGAAGGCCUUCGGGUUGUAAAGCACUUUCAGUCGUGAGGAAGGUAGUGUAGUUAAUAGCUGCAUUAUUUGACGUUAGCGACAGAAGAAGCACCGGCUAACUCCGUGCCAGCAGCCGCGGUAAU
rnacentral:rRNA from 1 species